CUGGAACUUUGUCAAGCAGCAUUGGAGGUUAAUAACUGCAUGGUCUCAUUGAGUUCAAAGUCCAGAAUCUCUGUGUGCCAUGAGGAGUCAUUGUAUCAGAAGAUAGUGUACAACUUUUCCUGUAACAAAUUUGGAUGUGGUCCUUUUGAUCCAAAAGCCAUUUACUAAAAAGGUUCCAGAACUGGACGGAUGAAAUUUGGAGUAUGCCAAUAGAGGGAUUCCCGAAGAUACCCAGAGAACUCUGACUCUGCCACUUAAUGGAAAUGUGCGGAUGGUGGGAAGCCCCACACAGGCUGAUUCCACCUCAGAGGCAGGAUGUGAUGGACCACAUAGUCCCACAUGGGAAUCCUCUCCACUGUGUGUCACAGAAGCCUGGAGGGACACAUGGCUACAGAUUUUGGAGAAAAGGGAAUGUGAGGAGCACAAUCUCCAGAGUGGAAGAGACCAGGCAACUCUGUUCCUGUGGAGUACACAGUAAAUGAGUUUGAGGGUCAAUCUCUUUUCUAAGACUCAUGUUUUAAAGAAGAAGAACAUUGUAUGUCACCAUUUCUUCAUAUUUUUCUUUUUCACCAGAGUGACAAUUUUCUCCCAGGAAGUAAUUUCACCAACACAGCAUAUUUAAAACCCAUGGUCUUUUGUGAUUCC
ensembl:lncRNA